AGUGAACGCUGGCGGUAGGCCUAACACAUGCAAGUCGAACGGCAGCACAGUAAGAGCUUGCUCUUACGGGUGGCGAGUGGAGGACGGGUGAGGAAUACAUCGGAAUCUACUUUUUCGUGGGGGAUAACGUAGGGAAACUUACGCUAAUACCGCAUACGACCUACGGGUGAAAGCAGGGGAUCUUCGGACCUUGCGCGAUUGAAUGAGCCGAUGUCGGAUUAGCUAGUUGGCGGGGUAAAGGCCCACCAAGGCGACGAUCCGUAGCUGGUCUGAGAGGAUUAUCAGCCACACUGGAACUGAGACACGGUCCAGACUCCUACGGGAGGCAGCAGGGGGAAAUAUUGGACAAUGGGCGCAAGCCUGAUCCAGCCAUACCGCGUGGGUGAAGAAGGCCUUCGGGUUGUAAAGCCCUUUUGUUGGGAAAGAAAAGCAGCAGGUUAAUACCCCGCUGUUCUGACGGUACCCAAAGAAUAAGCACCGGCUAACUUCGUG
rnacentral:rRNA from 1 species